UACAGAGGUCCCAAGCGUUGUUCGGAUUCACUGGGCGUAAAGGGCGCGUAGGCGGCCACCGCAAGUCGACUGUGAAAUCUCCGGGCUUAACCCGGAAAGGUCAGCCGAUACUGCGGGGCUAGAGUGCAGAAGGGGCAACUGGAAUUCCUGGUGUAGCGGUGAAAUGCGUAGAUAUCAGGAGGAACACCUGCGGCGUAGACGGCUUUCUGGACCAUUGUUGACGCUGAGACACGAAAGCGUGGGUAGCAAACAGG
rnacentral:rRNA from 1 species